UGUUGUCCAGGCUGGUCUCGAACUCCUGGCCUCAAAAGAUCCAUCCACCUCAGCCUCCCAAAGUGCUGGGAUUACAGGCAUGAACCAUCGUGCCCAGCCAAGAACUUCCCUUUUUUUUUAAAUAUGACACAGAGUCUUGUUCUGUCACCCAGGCUGGAGUGCAGUGGCGUGAUCUCAGCUCACUGCAACCUGCACCUCCCGGACUCAAGCGAUUCUCCUACCUUAGCCUCCAAAUAUCAUAAUAUCAUGGGGUUAUGAAGACAUGUUGCCUGCGCCAGAUAGCAAUACUGGCUGUAGUUCUAAAAAUAAAGAUCUAUUUGAAGAAUUCAGAGAAUCUAUGGAAGAUGGCUCAGCUUGCUGUGAAGCAAAGAAACCAGGGACCUUCUCCAGAACCUCUGAAGUUGAUGUUAGGUCCAGCUAGUGUUUGUCCUCUAAAAAGAAAGUGGAAUUCUCUCUCAGUUAUGCUAGUGCUUGAUUCCAGUAGCUACACUAAAGAAUGUGGAAUAAAAGAGAUGAGUCUUUCUGAUUGAAUAGAAGUGGAUCAUUUCCACUAGAACAGCUUCAAAGCUUCCCCCAACUUUUACAGAACAUCCAUUGCUUAGAGAUGCUUAACUGUUGAUCAGUUGUUCUGCUGUUGGCAGCUGCCUUCUCAGAUGGGCUCCGUGCUCAACAACUCUCUGCUGCUUCACUACAUUAACUGUGUCAGAGAUGAGCCAGUCUUGCUAAGGUCUUAUUAGUGGUUGAGUCAAACAUUACAAGAAGGUAAGAAUUGAGUGAGGCUGAGACAAGAUAGUUUACAAAUGGGUUUCUUUUGUAAGGGUGCCAAAUUCUAGAGAAGAAGAGCCUUCAUAUGCUGUGAUUAUGUCUGUGGUAAUCAUAUAUUUAGAGCAUGAAUGUUUCUGCUGUAAUUUCAAGGCAGUAGGAAGGGAGGGGGAUUUUGUUGAGGAAAUGCUGCUGGAUGGAAACACUGAUGGAUGGAAACACUGCUGGAUGCCACCAAGACUCACUGGGUGCCUCUACUUUGACGACUAUCACAAUCCAAGGAUUCUUCAUCUUUGUAUGUCCAGAAACUUGGUAUUAGGCCCCCAGAGUCAUCCCGUUAAUGGUAAUGAAACUCAGAGGAGACUAAUGUAAAAGCCAGAUUGUCAGCUAAUUAUAAAAUUAAUUAUUUCUGGUAAGCAAAAUGCUCAUCUCUGCCAACUAGAAUAUCCCCUCUCUGCUAUCAACAAAUAUGGGAACCAAAUUUGUCGUUAGAAGAUUUCUCACUUAUAGAAUUAAAGGAAAGGGCAGUGAGAAGCCUUUCAUCCAGGCCAUAGUAAAGCCUGAGCAUUUCAUUCCUCCACUGGUGGGGGGCGGUGGGGAGAUCAUAUUUCUUUUGACCAAACUGAGUGUUUCAUUACUGGAUAAGCUACUCCUGAUUCUUCUAGUGAUUAAAGUUUAUUUUAGUUGGUUCCAGGCCAAUUCUCCUCCUUCUACUCUGAAUCUUUUAAACAGAAUAUGAUAGGUUAUUAGAUUUCCACUUACUAAGUUUCUGUCAUUCUUACAUUAUACCCAGCCUACCCUAAUUGAAGUUUAGGGUAUUCUAAAACUUUCAAUUCAGAUGUUUAUACUUUCUUGGAUUACUAUGUGAUAUGAAGCUUGCCUUAUUCAUUAUAUGUGAAUUCUCUCCAUUUAUGUUUUGACUAUAAGCUUUUCCCUAUAUUACCAAGUUGUUGAACAUACCUGUUGUAGUCUACCUCAUGAGUUAGCUAGGAUGUAUGAGACUAAUGGCUUUUUUACUUUCUCACUUAUUUGUCACUUAGUGAUAAUUAUAUUCUGUGCACUUUUUUAUUCUGGUACAGCUGGAUGCUUGUAUUUACUGUUUCUGCUCUAGAAUGUAUUUGGUACAAGGUGAAUAAUUAUGAACAUGGAAAAGAAUUUACCAACUUUCUGGAUACUGUCAUCAGGGCAGAGUCCUUCUUACAAGUAAGAUUUCACUUGCUGCUUCCGCACUUCACCACUCUUUACUAACAUUUAUUUAGAUAUCCAUUGAAAACCUUUUUCUUGGCCAGGUGUGGUAGUUCACACCUGUAAUCUCAGCACUUUGGAGGCCAAGGCGGGUGGAUGGCUUGAGCCCAGGAGUUGAAGACCAGCUUGGGCAACAUAGCAAAACCCCAUCUCUACAAGGAAUACAAAAAUUAGCCAGGCAUGGUGGCAUGCAUAUGUAGUCCCAGUUACUCAGGAGGAUGAGGUAGGAUCACUUGAGCUCAGGAGGUCGAGGGUACAGUGACCUGUAAUUGUGCCACUGCACUGCAGCCUGGGUGACAGUGAGAUCCUGUCUCAAAAACAAAGAAAAAAACAUUUUUUUUAGUACCUGACACCUUUUGUAAAUAAUAUUUGUUGAAUUUGAAACUCAUUAUAAAUAGAGUUGGGGAGAGUUGAGUUGGACUUGAAAUAGAGCACUGUUGGAUUUGAAGAAUAUGUUACGUUAUGCAAAUAAAAGAGAAAAGCCUGUAAUUUAAGAGAACAAACUGAAGAUGUAAUUAAAUGUAUUCAGUUAAUUGGAUUAGCCAGUAAUGUAAAUUUCAUAGGGUUACUACUUUUGUGCUUAUAAUCAACAAACAUUAUUUGAGCAUCAGAUAUAUUCCAGCCAAUGGACUGAUUGGUCUGGGUAACCCCGAGUUGUAUUUUAAGCUGCAGCUUAGGUAUCAGUACCAUCAAGAAGCCUUCACUUACUGCCCAGUGUGGGUUAGCUCCUUGUUCUAUGUGAUCCCAUGGCUCCCUGUGCUUACCUCUAUUGUGACACUUCUAGCAUCCAUUUCUGCACACAUGAUGAGCUCCCAGCAGGCAGAAACCAUAUCUAACUCCUCUUCAUGUAUAGAUGUUCAAUUUGAUUGAUAAAUGUUUGUGGAGUAAUUCCUUUUUUUUUUUUUUUUUCUGAGACAAGGUCUCGCUCUGUUGCCCAGGCUGGAGUGCACUGGCACAAUCAUGGCUUACUGCAGCGUUGACCACCUGGGCUCAAUUGAUCUCCCCCAUCAAUCUAGUAGCUAGGACUACAGGUGUGCACCACCACUCCUGGCUAGUCUUUUUUGUCUGUUUUUUUUUUUCUUUUUUUUUUUUGUAAAACUUGGGGUUUACCAUGUUGCCCAGGCUGGUCUCAUACUCCUGGGCUUCAGCAUUCCUUCUGCCUUGGCCUCCCAAAAGUGCCGAGAUUACAGGCGUGAGCCACCACACUCAGCCCAAGUUUUAGGGAUUUUGUGUGAAACCAUUUAAUUGGAAGCUUGGGUGCAGACGAUGGUAGUGAGGAUAACAAUUUAGGUUGACGUUUAUGUUUCCUACUUGGGAAGAUGGAUGGCAUUCACUGAGAAAAGAAAUACAGGAGGAGCAGGCUUGGAAGGAAAGAUGUUUCACUUAAGAGAUGCCUAUGGGACAUCAAAGCGGUCAUACCCAGUACGCAGUAAAAUAAUGAGUGUAAAGCUCAAGAAUGAGAUUUGGGCUAGAGAUAAAGAUUUAGGAUCCCUCAUGUUAAAAGCGGUGGUUUUAGCUAUGAUGUGGGUGGUUUUAGCUAUGAUGUGGAUGAGAUUGUCCAGAGGAUUCAUAUCAUGAAAGCAGGUCUUAGGACAGAGUCCUGGUGCAUGUCACUAUAUAAGGCUUGGGUGAUAAAGGAAAAAAGGGAAGCCCCAGAUCUUCACUCUGGUGGAAAUAUAAGCAACCUAGACAUUUGAGCCUCUAAAGAUGGAGCUGCUCAGAGUUGGGAUUUGGCCUAAUGCCCUAAUGAAAUUCUAGCCCUAUUACAUAACAUUGUACACAUUUUGACUGUUCAAAUUACUGCAUGUACCCCAAGAUAAUAAAUUUUAUUUU